CCUCGAUAAAGGCAAAGCCUCCGAAAGGAGGCGACGCAAAGCUACAGGUCUAAGUCAGCACAAGGUUAUGGCUGAUAUGACGGCUGAGCUACCGAA
rnacentral:ncRNA from 1 species